rnacentral:rRNA from 1 species
UUGAUGUUCUAACGUGGACCCGUGAUCCGGGUUGCGGACAGUGUCUGGUGGGUAGUUUGACUGGGGCGGUCUCCUCCUAAAGAGUAACGGAGGAGCACGAAGGUUGGCUAAUCCUGGUCGGACAUCAGGAGGUUAGUGCAAUGGCAUAAGCCAGCUUGACUGCGAGCGUGACGGCGCGAGCAGGUGCGAAAGCAGGUCAUAGUGAUCCGGUGGUUCUGAAUGGAAGGGCCAUCGCUCAACGGAUAAAAGGUACUCCGGGGAUAACAGGCUGAUACCGCCCAAGAGUUCAUAUCGACGGCGGUGUUUGGCACCUCGAUGUCGGCUCAUCACAUCCUGGGGCUGAAGUAGGUCCCAAGGGUAUGGCUGUUCGCCAUUUAAAGUGGUACGCGAGCUGGGUUUAGAACGUCGUGAGACAGUUCGGUCCCUAUCUGCCGUGGGCGCUGGAGAACUGAGGGGGGCUGCUCCUAGUACGAGAGGACCGGAGUGGACGCAUCACUGGUGUUCGGGUUGUCAUGCCAAUGGCACUGCCCGGUAGCUAAAUGCGGAAGAGA